CUCACUGGGAACUUGCCAGCACCAUCAUAUGUUUCAUGACAAAUGCUAAGUGUUCAGAAAGUUGGCACUACAAAAUAGAGAUACUGUUAAUCUCUGUUUAAUUCUCAAAAUGGCUUGUAGGAUUUUAAAGCUUGUGUUGUUGCUGGUGCACUCACCCAUCAGAUAGCAUUUUUAACAGCCCUUCUAAUAUGGCCGGUUAAUUUGGUUAUAUUACUAGGAUGUAAAACAAAAUGAUUCCUAGGAUAGAGAUUGCUAGAUUGCUAAGAUUUUACUGCCGUUUUUUUCCUAUCUGCUGCGUGCUGAAGAACAGUGUGUCCAGCCACAUGUAUUGCUGUAGUCAGACCAUGGUAUUUUCUCAUCUUCUUUCCCAUGUACAGCUCAGACACAGCUGCCGCUAUUUACCAAACACAAAGGUGUUUUUCACAGCUCAGAGAGGAGCGAGCUCAUAGAUCUUUGGAUACGUCUCCAGAGACAUGAUGAUUCCAGCGUCAGAAUAAUCUGCUCCAUAACGUGACCACAUUUAGGAGACCAGCUCCUGGGAGGAGACCCAAGGAGACAUCUUGAAAUUUCUGAGCAGAGAGGCUUUUGACACAGAGUUGGUGUACGCCGGAUGGCAUCCAGUUGGUAGCCUGCAUUGCUGGUGCAGCAGGAGGAAGCAAGCCUCUGACAAGAGCUAGAUAUGUCACCCUGCAGGACUGCACGGACAGCUUAAAUGGAGUGUAUGUUUGCACCUAAGCAGACUGUUAAGUAACAGAAGUGAGGUCAACAGCUCCAAGAGUGACUAUCGCAAUAUCCAGCAGCCAUAGCACUGACAUUGAGACUGGCUGGGCCAUGAGGUCAUGCUUCUGGGAGGAUGAAGAGGAAGGCCUGGAUGCACUGAGGAAGAGAGUUGAACUCAACUUUGCUAUACAGCAGAUGAAUAUUCACCCUGGUGUAUAUAUAUAUAUAAAUCUAUUUAUUUAAAAGCAAGUAAGUUCAACUUCUGAACAGUGCAUGGUAACUGUUAGGGAAGCUCUCUUUUUUUCUCCCACCCAUCUUCAUCCUCCUUUUAAACAUUCCUAACUUUGGUCGGGACUCAGAAACAAGAGCUCUUGAGUUCUUCAUGCACUUUACAUCUCUGAUCUGAUGAUCAGUUGUAAAUCAGUUUUAGCUUUGUCAUUUUCUACCAUUCAUGCUGUUGUGAUGAUAACAAAAUCAUGGAAAACCAAUAUGCCUCUUUCACCAUGUACAUUUGGAUUACGAAAAACAUAUUCUUGUGGUUCUUUCUUAGGGUUCGUUUAUAAUAUUUUAAUUAUUAAAAAAUAAAGAAAAGAAAUCAAAGAAAAUCUCCUGCCAUGAAAUAUGUAAAAAGCUGAAUAACAUAGAAUAUUUAUGCUUAAGUAUUUUGGAAAUGCGUUAUCUUUACAAAAGAAUCAUUGAAACCUGGGAAAUGUAGUGAAAAUAUUGUACUUCAAUAAAAUAUAUUAAAAAAGAAAAUAUAUCAAGUCAUCCAGGAAACCUUAAUUUUCUGCUAUAAUGAGAACUUGAGGGAAAUGUGAAGUUAAAUUUAGUUUAUUUCUGUAGGCACUAAAUUUUUAACUAUUUCUGCAUAGUUUUACUAAGAAUUAGGAUUGUACGACCUAAUCAUUAACUCCUCAACCUGCAUAAUUUUAGAUUUUUUUGCAGGCUUAAUCCAACUCUGGGACUGGAAAUCAUAUCUUCUAACUGUACAGCUACAAGAUGAAGGGACUAGGAAAAAAGCAGGGGAAAAUCAGAACUAUUAUGUUCAUCUCUUAUACAGAGAACACAAAACCUACUGUAAUUAUGUCAUUUCCUCUCUCAUUAUGGUAUUGAGAGCCCAGAUCCAUUUUUAUGUAGUGGUACAAAACAGUUUGCUAUUUAAGUAUAGCUUACAGGAGCUACUUUGCAGAAUUGAUAUUCACAUACGCCACAAAUCAAUUGUUCCCACGAUAUUAAAAGGGAAAAUUAUCUCGAU
ensembl:lncRNA